GGCCACGUGGCGAAGAUGGUUAACGCUGGGGUCUGCAAAACCUCUAUGCGCCGGUUCGAGUCCGGCCGUGGCCU
rnacentral:tRNA from 1 species